GAGAAAAUCUAGGAGAGUCUGCAGACACCAUGGAAUCAACAUAAAUGACAAUCUGAGAGGAGGAGGAGGUCUGGGAAGACAUCGGGCAUCAGUGGAGCAACUAUAUAGGAUCAACGUAGUGUGAAUACAGUCAACUCUGUUCUUUGCACAUCGGCCAGUGAGUGAAAAACUAUUAUUUAUUACAAAAGGUAACGGUUUUGUAGAGAUUAAAUUAUGUAGAGAUGC